rnacentral:rRNA from 1 species
GACGAACGCUGGCGGCGUGCUUAACACAUGCAAGUCGAACGGAAAGGCCCCUUUGGGGGUACUCGAGUGGCGAACGGGUGAGUAACACGUGAGUAACCUGCCCUUGACUUCGGGAUAACUUCAGGAAACUGGGGCUAAUACCGGAUAGGAAUCCUUGCUGCAGGGUGGGGGUUGGAAAGCUUCGGCGGUUUUGGAUGGACUCGCGGCUUAUCAGCUUGUUGGUGGGGUAGUGGCUUACCAAGGCUUUGACGGGUAGCCGGCCUGAGAGGGCGACCGGCCACAUUGGGACUGAGAUACGGCCCAGACUCCUACGGGAGGCAGCAGUGGGGAGUAUUGCACAAUGGGCGGAAGCCUGAUGCAGCAACGCCGCGUGCGGGAUGACGGCCUUCGGGUUGUAAACCGCUUUCAGCAGGGGCGAAGCUUGUGGUGACGGUACCUGCAGAAGAAGCACCGGCUAACUACGUG